rnacentral:rRNA from 1 species
AAUCAACGCUGGCGGCGUGCCUAACACAUGCAAGUCGAACGAGAAAGUGGAGCAAUCCAUGAGUAAAGUGGCGACCGGGUGAGUAACACGUGACUAACCUACCCUCGAGUGGGGAAUAACCUCGGGAAACCGAGGCUAAUACCGCAUAACAUCGCAAGAUCAAAGCAGCAAUGCGCUUGAGGAGGGGGUCGCGGCUGAUUAGCUAGUUGGUAGGGUAAUGGCCUACCAAGGCUUAGAUCGGUAGCCGGCCUGAGAGGGCGCACGGCCACACUGGAAC